CCGCCCUGAGGCGAUGCGCGCGCACUGAAUCCUCACCCGGCUCCGUAUUCGGCUCCUCCCUGCGGCCUUUCCGAGAAGGGCCUUCUGGUAUCACACGUUUCCUGCAGCAAGUGGGCUAAACAGGAUGCUUAAGCCCCCCGAGCAUUAAACAAGGAAUAUAGCUUGCUGAAUUCAGGCAAAGGCAGAAAAGUUGCAAAAACUAAGCGGGAUGCGGUAACAAUGCUUAAAAAGAUGUUGUAACAGGGGCUCGGGCCUGCACUUGGAGAGCUUGCUCCUUGGCAGUCGCCGGCCGGCUGAAAUAAAGGCUCCCUUUUAUAACCUA